rnacentral:lncRNA from 1 species
GAAAGAAGCUUUAUUGCCUUUUAAAAGAGCUAUACAAUGCUGAAAUUACAAAGGUGAAUGGAUUGGAAUGGAUGAUUUUCGGAAUGGCUAAGUGCUGCUAUUUAUACAAGUCCUACUAUAUACAAGAGGGGCAGCUGAACAGGUUGGCUGGCUGCUUGGGCAGACAAGGCAUGCUGGUGCAUUGACUGCUUGUGUUGGAA